rnacentral:lncRNA from 1 species
UCUGCAUUAUAUAAGCUUGUUUUAUGAAACUGCUGUAUGUUGUAAAAUAAAGCAUAUAGGACUUAUCUGUCAAACUAAUCAGUUUAUAUAGAAGUGAAGUUAAUGGAAAAAGCAAAUAUCAUGUAAAAGUCACAUACUUUAUUGAUCAGCUGUGUUCUUCACAGACAACUCGCCCUUUCUUGGUAAAUUUCUUUCAAACUGCACACUUAAUUCUCAAAUGAGUUAAGUUAACCUUGUUAACCUCAAAGUGGUUAUAAUUAGGAUAUUGAAAAGAAAUAAUUGUUUUAUCUUAUCAAAUUUUAUCUAACAGUUUUUUGCUUUAUUUUGAGCUACAGAAUUGUGAAGGGCCAGAAAUCAAGAGAUUUACAGAAUUGCAAGAAAGCAUUAUUUUGGAAGAAAUGAACAGUAAUAAAUUUCACAAUGAGGUCAAGUAAGGCAGUACGGUGCAUGCAGAAGACUUAACAACAGUGAUGAACUCUGAUGAACAUCCCCUUUCCGAACAUGACAAUUAUGCCACUUGAUACACUGAACAUUAAAGAAUUGCAAAUGCUUUCUACUGAUUAAUGUAGCUUUCCUACCUCUGGUGGCACUACUUUACUGUGUCUAAAUUGUAGUUUCUCUCUCAAGUUAAGUUGUAGUAAGUGAACAAAUACUUUUCCCAAGUAAAGCUGUUUCUAUACAUAGUCCAACUUACAGG